rnacentral:rRNA from 1 species
GACGAACGCUGGCGGCGUGCUUAACACAUGCAAGUCGAACGGAAAGGCCUUUUCGGAGGUACUCGAGUGGCGAACGGGUGAGUAACACGUGGGUGAUCUGCCCUGCACUCUGGGAUAAGCCUGGGAAACUGGGCCUAAUACCGGAUAGGACCGCACUUUAGUGUGUGUGGUGGAAAGUUUUUUCGGUGUAGGAUGAGCCCGCGGCCUAUCAGCUUGUUGGUGGGGUAAUGGCCUACCAAGGCGGCGACGGGUAGCCGGACUGAGAGGUUGGUCGGCCACAUUGGGACUGAGAUACGGCCCAGACUCCUACGGGAGGCAGCAGUGGGGAAUAUUGCACAAUGGGCGCAAGCCUGAUGCAGCGACGCCGCGUGGGGGAUGACGGCCUUCGGGUUGUAAACUCCUUUCGCCAGGGACGAAGCGUUUUGUGACGGUACCUGGAGAAGAAGCACCGGCUAACUACGU